GACGAACGCUGGCGGCGUGGAUUAGGCAUGCAAGUCGAACGGUAUCAUCCUUCGGGGGUGAGAGAGUGGCGAACUGGUGAGUAACACGUAGGUUAUCUACCCUCAAGACGGGACAACCCAGGGAAACUUGGGCUAAUACCGGAUGUGAGCAACUUUUAGUUGUUUGAAAGGUGGCGUAAGCUGUCGCUUGGGGAUGAGCCUGCGUCCUAUUAGUUAGUUGGUGAGGUAACGGCUCACCUAGGCAAUGAUAGGUAGGCGGCCUUAACGGGUGGUCGCCCACACUGGGAUUGAGAUACGGCCCAGACUCCUACGGGAGGCAGCAGUCGAGAAUAGUCUACAAUGGUCGGAAGACUGAUAGUGCGACGCCGCGUGAACGAUGAAUCCCUUCGGGGUGUAAAGUUCUUUUAUAUGUGAGCAGUGCUUCUUAUAUUAACAGUAUGGGGAGAGAGAUAUUAGCAUAUGAAUAAGCAACGGCUAACUCCGUG
rnacentral:rRNA from 1 species